UUAAAGUUUGAUUCUUGCUAUGUUUCUUGCUCCGGGCUUAUAAAAUAUAUUCAAAUUUUGGUGUGACAAGGUUUAAAAAUCUUAAUGAUUUUUGAUGGUUUAAAGUCGCAAUAUAUAAUAUUAAUCAAUCUUGAAUUUAAGGAAUUAAUAAGUUUAGGUCAAUUCUGACUAAAUUUUGUGCCAGCAGUCGCGGUUAGACUUAAGGUGUAGGUGAGAAAAUCUUAGUUUGCAGUUAAGGCGGUAUUUUGUUUAAGGAAAUUGUGGUCUAUUAAAAGGUAAAAUUGAUCUAUUAAAUCUAAUAAUUUUUUGUGAAAAAUAUUCUGAGGCUGUAAAGUUUAGAGUAUAAACUAGGAUUAGAUACCCUACUAUAUCUAAAUUUAAAUAUUAAUGCUAGAAUAUUAAUAGUUAUUUUCUUUAAAAGCAUAGAAUUUGGCGGUAGUUUAGUCUAGUUAGAGGAACCUGUCUCGUAAACGAUAAACCACGAAAUUUCUUACUUAGCGUAGAUAAUAGUUUGUAUACCGCCAUUGAGAGAUAAUUUUUAUAAAAUAAAUUGUUAAAAUGUAGUAAUGCAGUAUAUUAGGUCAAGGUGCAGCUUAUGGCUAAGUGAAUAUGGGUUACAAUAUGAUUUCAUAAACGAAUUGUUUUCAGAAAUGGGAAUAUGAAGGUGGAUUUAAUAGUAAAUUUGUUUUAAUAAGGUAGAUUGAUAUAAGCGCUGAAUUAUGUACAUAUCGCCCGUCGCUCUUAUUAUUAGUAAGAUAAGUCGUAACAUAGUGGGUGUACUGGAAGGUGAACCUAGAAGUAG
rnacentral:ncRNA from 1 species